rnacentral:lncRNA from 1 species
GUAACUUAUACUUGACAAAUAAACAAGUGCUUCUACUCAAUAUCAUGGAUGGAGCCUGUGCAAUCUUUUCCGGAAAAAAAAUUAAAAAUCAAUAGUGCAAUUUGUUCCCAAUUUAAGAUCUAAUCAGAGACCUUGUCAUCCUCAUGACUUUCUCUAUAUACUAUAUAGAAUUGGAUUGUUCAUUCUUCGAUAGUUAAUAGAUAUGUUGAUGUAUGAGUACUGUAAAGUGGAUAUAGCAUAGAGCACUUGCUUAUACAGUUCCGUCCAUUAUUAUGUACAACUGUAGACAUAACCAGGGACAAAGGCACG